GGGGGUGCACGAGGCGCGAUUUCUCUGCAAUACGUGAAAGCCUGAUCGGGUUACUCUGAAUGAUUCCCGCUAAGGGGAUCUUUUGGCACCUCUAAAAAUGGUGCAAAAUAAAGGGUGGGCAAGCCUGGUGUCAGCCGCCGCGGUAAUACCAGCACCCCGAGUGGUCGGGACGAUUAUUGGGCCUAAAGAAUCCGUAGCCGGCCACGCAAGUCCUCCGUUAAAUCCACCCGCUCAACGGUUGGGCUGCGGAGGAUACUACGUGGCUAGGAGGCGGGAGAGGCAAGCGGUACUCAAUGGGUAGGGGUAAAAUCCUUUGAUCCAUUGAAGACCACCAGUGGCGAAUGCGGCUUGCCAGAACGCGCUCGACGGUGAGGGAUGAAAGCUGGGGGAGCAAACCGGAUUAGAUACCCGGGUAGUCCCAACUGUAAACUAUGCAAACUCGGUGAUGGGAUGGCUUCUAGACAUCCCAGUGCAGCAGGUAAGCCGAUAUGUCUGCCACCUGGGGAGUACGGCUUUCACAUUGAGACUAAGUUGAAUUGCUGGGGGAGCGCAAA
rnacentral:rRNA from 1 species